GGGGGAUAUUGCACAAUGGGGGAAACCCUGAUGCAGCGACGCCGCGUGAGGGAAGAAGGUCUUCGGAUUGUAAACCUCUGUCUUUGAGGACGAAAGAAAUGACGGUACUCAAAGAGGAAGCCACGGCUAACUACGUGCCAGCAGCCGCGGUAAUACGUAGGUGGCGAGCGUUGUCCGGAAUUACUGGGUGUAAAGGGUGCGCAGGCGGGACGGUAAGUUGGAUGUGAAAUGCGCGGGCUUAACCUGCGAGCUGCAUUCAAAACUACCGUUCUUGAGUGAGGUAGAGGCAGGCGGAAUUCCCGGUGUAGCGGUGAAAUGCGUAGAGAUCGGGAGGAACACCAGUGGCGAAGGCGGCCUGCUGGGCCUUAACUGACGCUGAGGCACGAAAGCAUGGGUAGCAAAC
rnacentral:rRNA from 1 species